rfam:Devosia psychrophila strain Cr7-05 contig235, whole genome shotgun sequence.
GCGCCCUUAGCUCAGCUGGAUAGAGCACCAGACUACGAAUCUGGGGGUCAGGAGUUCGAAUCUCUUAGGGCGCG